rnacentral:rRNA from 1 species
UGGGGAAUCUUGGACAAUGGGGGCAACCCUGAUCCAGCCAUGCCGCGUGAGUGAUGAAGGCCUUAGGGUCGUAAAGCUCUUUCGCCUGUGAAGAUAAUGACGGUAGCAGGUAAAGAAACCCCGGCUAACUCCGUGCCAGCAGCCGCGGUAAUACGGAGGGGGUUAGCGUUGUUCGGAAUUACUGGGCGUAAAGCGCACGUAGGCGGACCAGAAAGUUGGGGGUGAAAUCCCGGGGGCUCAACCCCGGAACUGCCUCCAAAACUAUUGGUCUAGAGUUCGAGAGAGGUGAGUGGAAUUCCAAGUGUAGAGGUGAAAUUCGUAGAUAUUUGGAGGAACACCAGUGGCGAAGGCGGCUCACUGGCUCGAUACUGACGCUGAGGUGCGAAAGUGUGGGGAGCAAACAGGAUUAGAUACCCUGGGUAGUCCACACCGUAAAACGAUGAAUGCCAGUCGUCGGGUAGCAUGCUAUUCGGUGACACACCUAACGGAUUAAGCAUUCCGG